rnacentral:misc_RNA from 1 species
GCUACUACCGAUUGGAUGGUUUAGUGAGGACUCCUGAUUGGCGCCGCCGCCCCGGCAACGGAGCAGCGGACUGCCGAAAAGUUGUUCAAACUUGAUCAUUUAGAGGAAGUAAAAGUCGUAACAAGGUUUCCGUAGGUGAACCUGCAGAAGGAUCAUUCCGCAUCAAACCAUUCGAGUGGGGUCUUGGUGAAGGCGUGAUCGUUGUCAUGUUUGAACCAGGGCUCCGCAAGAGGGGUUAAGUCGUAACAAGGUAUCCGUAGGUGAACCUGCAGAAGGAUCA